GUCGCGGUGGUGAAACUGGUAUACACGAGGGACUUAAAAUCCCUUUCCCGUAAGGGAGUGCGGGUUCGAUUCCCGCCCGCGGCA
rnacentral:tRNA from 2 species